rnacentral:tRNA from 1 species
GCUCAUAUAGCUCAGUCGGUAGAGCACUUCCUUGGUAAGGAAGAGGUCCCGGAUUCAAGUUCCGGUAUGAGCUCCA